CGGCGUGCCUAAUACAUGCAAGUCGAACGCAUUGUGGUUGAAAUGAUAUGAAGAACUUGUUCAGAUUUGAUUUUCAACAUUGCAAUGAGUGGCGAACGGGUGAGUAACACGUGGGAAACCUACCUCUUAGCAGGGGAUAACAUUUGGAAACAAAUGCUAAUACCGUAUAAUAAUUAAAACCGCAUGGUUUUAGUUUAAAAGAUGGUCUUGCUAUCACUAAGAGAUGGUCCCGCGGUGUAUUAGUUAGUUGGUGAGGUAAUGGCUCACCAAGACAAUGAUACAUAGCCGAGUUGAGAGACUGACCGGCCACAAUGGGACUGAGACACGGCCCAUACUCCUACGGGAGGCAGCAGUAGGGAAUCUUCCACAAUGGACGAAAGUCUGAUGGAGCAACGCCGCGUGUGUGAUGAAGGGUUUCGGCUCGUAAAACACUGUUGUAAGAGAAGAAUGACAUUGAGAGUAACUGUUCAAUGUGUGACGGUAUCUUACCAGAAAGGAACGGCUAAAUACGUGCCAGCAGCCGCGGUAAUACGUAUGUUCCAAGCGUUAUCCGGAUUUAUUGGGCGUAAAGCGAGCGCAGACGGUUAUUUAAGUCUGAAGUGAAAGCCCUCGGCUCAACCGAGGAAUUGCUUUGGAAACUGGAUAACUUGAGUGCAGUAGAGGAAAGUGGAACUCCAUGUGUAGCGGUGAAAUGCGUA
rnacentral:rRNA from 1 species